CGAUUAUAAACAACUGCUGAAAGAUUGUGGGUACAAGCCAGCUGCCAUGUUGUGAGCACAUACCACAUAGCUCCAUGGAGAUGCCCAUGUGACUGUGAUGAAGAGCUAAGACUUCCUGUCAGUGGCCAUGUGAGUGACCCAUGUUAGAAACAGAUCCGCCAGCCCAAACAGAACCUUCAGACAACUGCAGCCCCAGCUGGCAUCUUGACUGCAACUCAUGAGAGAUUCUAAGCCCACCGAAG
rnacentral:lncRNA from 1 species